rnacentral:rRNA from 1 species
UACGUAGGCAGCAAGCGUUGUUCGGAAUUACUGGGCGUAAAGAGUGUGUAGGCGGUGCUCUAAGUCUGUUGUGAAAUCUCCCGGCUUAACUGGGAGGGUGCGGCGGAAACUGGAGUGCUCGAGGGUGGGAGAGGUAAGCGGAAUUCCUGGUGUAGCGGUGAAAUGCGUAGAUAUCAGGAGGAACACCUGCGGUGUAGACGGCUUUCUGGACCAUUGCUGACGCUGAGACACGAAAGCGUGGGUAGCAAACAGG